CAUAAGUGAGCCCCUGUGCCAGUACUUCUUGUUCCAGCCUGCUUGCCACCAAAAUAUUGGAACACAACAUCUUGAAGGACAGCCAGUGCUAGAGGGAUUAGCCCCAGCAGACCUCUUCUGAAGGUCCAGGAAAGAAACCCGCGUUCCAUUUAAACCAGCGGCAAACCUUUUGCUAUCCUUAGGAUGUACCUACAUUGCACAGUCUCCUGGACUUCUCACUCACCUUUUAUAAAUUAUUGAAGGUAGCCACCAAUGCCUCUGAGACUGCACACCCUGUACUUUACAAUGAAUCUUAUCAGGCCAGCUGAUUUAGUCCAACUUACCUCAGUUUUGCCUCAGAAUUGCACCUGGACCUUCACAUCUGUGCCUAGUGCCUUCCCAUGCUCAUGUGCCUG
rnacentral:lncRNA from 1 species